ACGGGAGGCAGCAGUGGGGGAUAUUGCACAAUGGGGGAAACCCUGAUGCAGCAACGCCGCGUGAGGGAAGAAGGUUUUCGGAUUGUAAACCUCUGUCCUCAGUGAAGAACAAAAUGACGGUAACUGAGGAGGAAGCUCCGGCUAACUACGUGCCAGCAGCCGCGGUAAUACGUAGGGAGCGAGCGUUGUCCGGAUUUAUUGGGUGUAAAGGGUGCGUAGGCGGCUAAGUAAGUCAGGCGUGUAAUUCAGGGGCUUAACCUCUGGACUGCGCUUGAAACUGCAUGGCUUGAGUGGAGUAGAGGCAGAUGGAAUUUCCAGUGUAGCGGUGAAAUGCGUAGAUAUUGGAAGGAACACCGGUGGCGAAGGCGAUCUGCUGGGCUUUAACUGACGCUGAGGCACGAAAGCAUGGGGAGCAAACAGGAUUAGAUACCCUGGUA
rnacentral:rRNA from 2 species